GGACCAUCCCUACUGUAAGCUGCCACAAAAGCGGAAAGCAGAGUGUCAGCAGGAAAGCCCAGAUCCCAAAACACAACGACUUGAGGACAUUUCUCUAGAUGUUUUGUCCCCUGACCCCAGAGCAGGGCAGCAACAACCGGAAACAUGCAAUGAAACCACGCCUACACGACAACCGGUGUCUGUGAGCAACACAGAUACUGAGGGCAGCCCGAUCACACCCAAGGGUCACAAGGAGCACACCUACCACAGCAAAACAACGCCAAGAACAGGAAUGAGACAACUU